rnacentral:rRNA from 1 species
GACGAACGUUGGCGGCGUGCUUAAUACAUGCAAGUCCACUGAAGCAGUGGUAGCAAUAUCGCUGUGGAGGUGGCGCACGGGUGAGUAACACGUAGGUAAUCUGCCUUCAGGUCUGGCAUAACUCCGGGAAACCGGGGCUAAUAGCAGAUGAUGCAGCGGCUCGACAUCGAGACAGUUGUUAAAGCUAUGGCGCCUGAAGAUGAGCCUGCGUCUGAUUAGCUAGUUGGCGGGGUAACGGCCCACCAAGGCAACGAUCAGUAGCUGGUCUGAGAGGAUGAUCAGCCACACUGGAACUGAGACACGGUCCAGACUCCUACGGGAGGCAGCAGUAAGGAAUAUUGCUCAAUGGGAGAAAUCCUGAAGCAGCAACGCCGCGUGAGGGACGAAGGGCUUUUGCUUGUAAACCUCUGUAGUGAGAGAAAAAAAUCCCAAUCUUUGGGACAUGAUGGUAGCUCAAAAGUAAGCCCCGGCUAACUACGUG